rnacentral:rRNA from 1 species
GCUCAGCCGUAAACUUAGACAUCCAACUACAAUAGAUGUCCGCCAGGGUACUACGAGCAUUAGCUUAAAACCCAAAGGACCUGACGGUGUCUCAGAUCCCCCUAGAGGAGCCUGUUCUAGAACCGAUAACCCCCGUUCAACCUCACCACUUCUAGCCAACCCAGCCUAUAUACCGCCGUCGUCAGCUUACCCUGUGAAGGUAAUAAAAGUAAGCAAAAUGGGUACAACCCAAAACGUCAGGUCGAGGUGUAGCGCAUGGAGUGGGAAGAAAUGGGCUACAUUUUCUAACAUAGAAUAUUACGAACAUGCACCAUGAAACAGUGCUUGAAGGAGGAUUUAGUAGUAAAAGGGAAAUAGAGUGUCCCUUUGAACCCGGCUCUGAGACGCGU